UUCGCGGAAGAGACCGGCGCGCUUUCGGGCGGCGCCGGCGCCGAAGGCGCAACCGCCCCGGAAACGCUCAGGCAAACGGACCGCGAAAGG
rnacentral:ncRNA from 1 species